rnacentral:tRNA from 1 species
GGAGGGCAUAGCUCAGUGAUAAGAGUGCAUGCUUACCAUGCAUGAGGUCCUGGGUUCAAUCCCCAGUACCUCCA